GGAGGUGAGGGUGAUCUGGCUGCGACAUCUGUCACCCCAUGGAUCGCCAGAGUUGAUUCGUCUGAUCUGGCUGGCUAGGCAGGUGUCCCUUUCCUCCCUCAAUGACCCAUGUGCAUCCCUCCCAAAGCUGAGCGCUCACUUGGUCAGAGGACGACCACCCCCAACAGAGGAGGACUGUUCCUUAGUCAAGGUUAUAGCUGUGCUCCCUUGCUGGAAUCUCCAAACAAGCUCUCAAAACUGGGCUCCACUACUUGGGAGUUAUGUGAUCUUGGCAAAUUAAUUUAUACUUUGUUUUCCUCUUUAUUACAAGAGAGAGCACUAGU
ensembl:misc_RNA 7SK 7SK RNA